rnacentral:rRNA from 1 species
GGAGUCUGGGCCGUGUCUCAGUCCCAAUGUGGCCGAUCACUCUCUCAAGUCGGCUACUGAUCGUUGCUUUGGUAGGCCGUUACCCUGCCAACUAGCUAAUCAGAUAUGAGCCCAUCUUUCAGCGGAUUGCUCCUUUGGUAUCCAGGUGAUGCCACCCAAAUACAUUAUGCGGUAUUAGCAGUCGUUUCCAACUGUUGUCCCCCUCUGAAAGGCAGGUUGCUCAUACAUUACUCACCCGUCCGCCACUAAGUCAUAUCCGGCUUCGACGAAUCUCCGUCAGAUAUGCUUCGUUCGACUUGCAUGUGUUAGGCACGCCGCCAGCGUUCAUC